rnacentral:tRNA from 1 species
GGCCACGUAGUACAAUGGAUAGUAUAAGGGUCUCCGAAGCCUUUGAUCCGCGUUCGAUUCGCGGCGUGGCCA